CGGCUGCAGUCGAGAAUCUUCCUCAAUGCACGAAAGUGUGAAGGAGCGACGCCGCGUGCCGGAUGAAGGCCUUCGGGUUGUAAACGGCUUUUAUUGGAGAAGAACUAAUGACGGUAUCCAAUGAAUAAGAGGUUGCUAACUCCGUGCCAGCAGCAGCGGUAAUACGGAGACCUCGAGCGUUAUCCGGAUUUAUUGGGCGUAAAGGGUCCGUAGGCGGUUUUGUAAGUCAUCUGUCAAAUCGCAAGGCUUAACCUUGCGGCUGCAGCUGAUACUGCAAAACUAGAGAGCGGGAGAGGUACACGGAAUGGCCGGUGUAGGGGUAAAAUCCGUUAAUAUCGGCUAGAACACCAAAGGCGAAGGCAGUGUACUGGAACGUUUCUGACGCUGAGGGACGAAAGCGUGGGUAGCGAAAGGGAUUAGAUACCCCUGUAGUC
rnacentral:rRNA from 1 species